rnacentral:sRNA from 1 species
UCUUAACUAUUUUUUUUUUUUUUUGGUUUU